UAUAACGAAUACAAGCGAACUUCCUCUCGACCUUUCACUCACCAUGUCGACCUGCGGUAACUGCGACUGCGCUGACAAGAGCCAGUGCGUGAAGAAGGGAAACAGCUGCGGCAUCGAGAUCGUUGAGACCCAACAGAGCUACUAUGAAGAUGCCGUGGUUGAGGUUAUGGCCGCAGCGGAGCACGACGGCAAGUGCAAGUGCGGAGCUGGCUGCACUUGCACUUCCUGCACUUGUGGACAUUAAACAUAUGUAGUACUGAUAUUACAGAAUUGUGUGGGGAACAAGAAAAUGGGUAACAUUAAUAGUAAGUGUAGUGAAUAA